UACGUAGGGUGCAAGCGUUAAUCGGAAUUACUGGGCGUAAAGCGUGCGCAGGCGGUUUUGUAAGUCUGUCGUGAAAUCCCCGGGCUCAACCUGGGAAUUGCGAUGGAGACUGCAAGGCUAGAAUCUGGCAGAGGGGGUAGAAUUCCGCGUGUAGCAGUGAAAUGCGUAGAGAUGCGGAGGAACACCGAUGGCGAAGGCAGCCCCCCUGGGAUAACACUGACGCUCAUGCACGAAAGCGUGGGGAGCAAACAGGAUUAGAUA
rnacentral:rRNA from 1 species